GAGGGCGAGAAGCCACUUCUGGGGGCGGAUCUGGUAACGGAAAGGGGCGGGGUGCCUUUCCGAGCUUGGACCUCGUGCCCCAGGCUGCGUAGGUGGACGGCGGAUCCUGACGCGAGCGCAGGCCGUGCGGGAGAUGGCUGAUUCUGAUCCUGGAGAAAGAAACUAUGACAACAUGCUGAAAAUGCUGUCAGACCUGAAUAAAGACUUGGAAAAGCUACUAGAAGAGAUGGAGAAAAUCUCAGUGCAAGCCACAUGGAUGGCCUACGACAUGGUGGUGAUGCGCACCAACCCCACACUGGCGGAGUCCAUGCGCCGGCUGGAGGAUGCCUUCCUCAACUGUAAGGAGGAGAUGGAGAAGAACUGGCAAGAGCUGCUCACUGAGACCAAGCACAAACAGUAGGCCCCCUGCCCACCCACGGCCACCGUGCUUCUGCCUGCCAGUGUGGAGAAGCCCCGGGGACACAGAGCCCUCUCUGCUUGGCAGAGUAACAGCAACCGUAAUAUAUAGCUAUGAGAAGAAUGGAAUCAGAUGUCUCGGCUAAGUCCGCAGCUAACAAGGGAAAGAGCUCAGGGCUGUACCUGAGCAAGCGGUAGAAGAGGUGGCCCCCAGUGACAUAGAUGUCCCCACGGCAGGCCACAGCCUCGUGUGCCACAGGGAAGGUGCCCGCAGGGAGGGGCGCGCGCGAGGUCCAGGCAUCCGUGCGCGGGUCAUAGCGCUCCAUGCUGUACAGGCACUCUCCACCGAUGGCGUAAAGAAGCCCAUCCAGGGCCACCAGCUUGAGCUGGGCACGGGCCUGCUGCAUGGGCCGCACCUGGCUCCAGAUGUUGGUCAGUGGGUUGUAGCAGAAGACCUCGUUGGAGCAGACAGCCUUGGCACCGGAGCCGCGGAUGCCCCCCGCCAGGAACAGAACCCUGACUAACUCUGAGGGACAAAGAGUCUGAAGGAGAGGAGGUCGGAAGGGUUGAGCCUGCAGACUGCCUGCCUCCUGCCCGAUGCUCUGCCCGCGCUGGCCUUGCCAAGAUGGUCUCCCUUCUAGGAGGCCAUGGCCCCGUUGCUGCUCUGCCCCACCCGGCCCUGAGCUGAAGAAAGAGCGGUCUCCAGAGCCUUGAGCCCCAGCCUUUACCGCAUUGCUGGCGUCUGCGGUCCCCCGUCCUUGAGACAAGAGUGGAUGUCCGCAUUGCGACCCCUCUGGCCAUGGGCCCAUGGAGUCUGGGGUCUGGACGAAGCUCCUCUCCCACGGCCAGCCUUCCACGGAGGCUGGGGGUCCCUGAGACUCCCUGGGAGCCUGGGGCCCAGCCUCCCUGCUCUCCAGAGCUAGGACUGAGGCUGGAUGGAGGCUGCUCUCCCUGUGCCCCUUCACUGUGCCCUCUGUCAAGGGCCCAGUCUGCGUGGCACGUGGUGGAGGCAGCUCCAAGGGGAGAGGAGGCCUCUGGGAGCCUGUGGAGAGGCUGCUGGCUGCAUCCACGGCAUCCCACACACUCACCACAGAGCCCAGGCGGAGGGGGUCCAGCUUUGGGAGGCGGCGGUGUCUAUCUUCCGAGCCUUGGUCCACCUGCCACCGCCGGCUUCUUCGGCCUCUCUCUAGCGAGCCAGGUGGCCCUACACCUUGUUGCCAGGGGCUGGUGUCCUGUUCUGCUGUGUGGACCAGGGCCUGGUGAGCUGGCACCUUGGCUCGAACACCUCCUGCCUCCACUUGCCCUUCAGUCUCUCUGCCAGGACUCCGAGGGGUGAAGUGUAUCAGGAGGGGGCCGGAUGUCCCCCCUACUUUGCUCCGACCCAGGAAGGCAGUAUCUGGCCUGAGAGGCUCCCUUCCUUUACCUCGCAGGGCUUCCGGAGUGGCACUGUCGUGCUGCCGUUCCAAGGCCCCUCCACUGGCCACCUCGCCGGGUGUCUUGAGUGGAGGUGCCGCUGUGGCAGCCAGGCCACCUCCCCGGAGCUCCUGAUCUUGGGCCCCUGCUGCAGCUGGACUCCCCUGGCCACGUCCUGGAGGGUCUGGCUGCCCCUGCCCUGAGCUGUGUCCCUCGACGCCACCACUGACCUUGGGCUGCAGGGGCAGGGCUGGGCUGGCUCCUCCAGCCUGAGAAGGCUGGGCCCCGGGGGUCGUGGAUGCAGGUCCUGCCGCCUCCUGGUCCUGCCCAGAGCCAAACCAGUGCAAAGCCAGUGCCGUGGCAGCCACCACAGCCAGCGCCAGCAGGGUGAGGACAGCGCUGUCCCAGUCAUCCUCCCCAUCCCAGCCCCAGCCGGGGCCAUCAGGCUCCGAGGCCCCCUGGACCAUGGUGCGGGGCUGCAGACUCAGCGUGAGGAGCUGGGUCGCAGGCUGGAAGCUUGGAGUGCUGCCUGUAAGUCUGUCCCACACUCGGGCCUGGACUGCUGUCUGCACAGGCAUCAACAAUGCGCCCCGCCCACAGGGCUGCCCAGUUAAGGUGGACCUGUGCUGGGGGACAGUCUCUCUGCCUGGCCUGAGCGGGGCGGGGGGGUGUCUCUUCGCCCACACCCAGAUUGGGGGUUUGUCUAGGUGGAGCUGUCCGGAGACAACAUAAUGCACAAGAGCUCCAGGAGCUCAGGGGCCUCUGCAGGCAAACCCGCCCCUUCUCCUUUUUCCACAGGUUCCAGUGGCGAGUGACACCGUUCCCCAAAGCUGUUCCGGUAUCCCAGACCCUCACAGACCCUCACAGCCCCCCAGAUCUCCACCCUAUUGUUCCAACUCUCAGCCUGUGUCCAGCCUCAGAGGCUCUGUUAGGGAAGAGCAUAGUGAGAUGCUAUCUGUAGCUUUGGCAACAUGAUGCAGCCCUGAUGAAAUUACCAGAAACCCAAGAAGACAAUUCCACUGUGGGCCAGUGGGGGAGGGGUGGUCGGGCACAUACUCCACGGUGCCAACCCUGCAGGCUGGCCUCUGAGAGAGACCACGGAGGGCAUGGUGUCCUGACAGGAAGCUCUGCCUUAGAAAGUGCAACCUCCUGUCACCUCAGGUGUGAAGUAGAGAUUUGCACUAUUGUCUCCCAGGAUGUAUAGGGGUGCGUGAGAGGGGCCAAGGCUGAAGGCCCCGCCUCCCCUCCUCCGGCAGCCUCUGGACCUCCCUUACCCUGAGUUCAGCAGAGAUGGGAUAGUUUUCCAAAGGAAUUUUCUAAGCUGUCGAGAGGGGGGAAAAUGAACAAAAUAAAGAAAAUCCAAAAGUUGUAUUUUUCUCUUUAUUAGCCUGUCUUAUUAGAACCCACCUGCCCUUUCUGGAGCCUCCUAGGCCUCCCCCUGCACCCUGUGGGCCAUCUUGACUGCUCCAACACCUCUCUCCUGGUGCCCCCACAGAACCCUAAGCUCAGACUGCUGUUACCCCUGGUACAUCAUCAGCCAGCCACCAGGAUCACUCAGAGACCCUCGUCUGAACCCAGGACACAGGACUUCUCCCUCAGGCAGUGAGAUGGCCAAGGAGCAUCCCUGGCACCCAGCCUGCGCUCUGCUAGAACUCAGACACAAGUGUGCCUGGGCCUGUUGUGGGCCCUCCCAAGCCUUGCGGAUGGCAAUGACCGUCGUGUAGUUCCUGUCACAUGGUUGCUGCGCUACCACAUGAAUGAUGCCUAAUGUGGGCCGGACAGCAAGAUGGCCCGAUAACGUAAGAGGAAAUUGCCCCAGGAACCGUGAUGUCGAUCUAAUGAUGUUCGUCGAAAAUGGCACCUUUGGCAGCCAUGUAAGGUACUUGUGGGGGAGUUUCUGUCACAGUAAUGUGGUUGGGGAUGGACGUGUCUUCCUGCAAUCUGACCCGCUCUCACUGUAGAUGGCAAAAUAUCGCUCUACCAACAUAACCAUCACCCAGGAGGACCACAGAACCUUGAGAAGCUGUGCUCAGCAAAUGUCACACCACCUGAUGGCUUAUGGAAUAGCUGAGAUGUGGCCUUAGACCCAAGCCCAGGAGACUGUCGCUUCUUUGUGAUUUAUGUGUCAGAGUGCUCAUUUCUGCCAAAUCUCUAGCCUGGGACUGCCCUAGUGGCCGAGAACCCAGAGCUUUCCCUUUCCUUCACCCACAUCCGCUCUACGUCAGGGGUUCACAAUGUCUGCUUUUGUAAAGAGCCAGGUAAUAACUAUUUUUGCCUCUGCAGGUCAUAUGGUCUCCGGUAACUACUCCGCUUUGCUAUUACAGCAUGAAAGCCACCAUAGAAAACAGUAGAUGAGGCAGGCUGGCUUAGUGGCCCCUGCUCUAAGGGAUCCCAUCCAUUCCCAGGGCUCGAGGAUGCUUUCCAGGCCCGUUUCCAAGCUAGACGUCGCCACUGAGCCCCAGGUGCGUGCGUCUCCCCAGUCAACAUCUUCGGCUGGGGGCGUAAUAGCCAUCUUGAACCUCAGACGCUCAAAUCAAGACUUGAUCUUUCCACCUUUCUGGAUACGGCCAGUUGCAUUCAACUUCCAUUGUCAUCAGCUGCUUCUAUGCAUUUUCCUGUAUUUCAGAACCUAAAAGCUGAAAAACCACAUUUUUCAGACCCCCUUGCGGUGGGACUUCCGAAGGGAGUGGUUGCAUCAAAUGCACGCUCAUGGGACGACACAGGAGGCAGGGUGGCCAUGCAGUCUCUGGGCACACGAUGCCACAGCGAUGGCUGUCAGGGCAGGGUGGGGUGCGGUUGGCAGGAGAGAGACAACAAGGCCCCAAGUUCCUGGCCUCACAGUCACGGCUACCCAAGUCUCUCAGACUCAAGGGGCCACCUCUCAGUCCACACGCACCAGCCCAUCUGAAGAUUCUGUAGUGUCCCCUGUAAUAAAUCCAUUUCUGCCAUAACUA